AGAGUUUGAUCCUGGCUCAGGAUGAACGCUAGCGGCAGGCCUAACACAUGCAAGUCGAACGGUAACGGGGAUCUGUUUACAGAUUCGCCGACGAGUGGCGGAUGGGUGAGUAUCGCGUAUGUAAUCUUCAUUAUGCUAAGGGAUAGCCAGGGGAAACUCUGAUUAAUACCUUAUAGUUUGCUUUAUCGGCAUCGAUUUAGCAAUAAAGAUUUAUCGGCAUAAUAUGAGCAUGCGUCUUAUUAGUUUGUAGGUGGGGUAACGGCUCACCUAGACUACGAUAAGUAGGGGCCCUGAGAGGGGGAUCCCCCACACUGGUACUGAGACACGGACCAGACUCCUACGGGAGGCAGCAGUGAGGAAUAUUGGUCAAUGGACGCAAGUCUGAACCAGCCAUGCCGCGUGCAGGAUGACUGCCUUAUGGGUUGUAAACUGCUUUUAAUCAGGAAGAAAUGUUCCUACGAGUUGGGAAUUGACGGUACUGUGAAUA
rnacentral:rRNA from 1 species